rnacentral:rRNA from 1 species
GAUGAACGCUAGCGGCAGGCCUAACACAUGCAAGUCGAGGGGCAGCACGGUGUAGCAAUACACUGGUGGCGACCGGCGCACGGGUGCGUAACGCGUAUGCAACCUACCCAUAACAGGGGGAUAACACUGAGAAAUUGGUACUAAUACCCCAUAACAUCAGGACCGGCAUCGGUUCUGGUUGAAAACUCCGGUGGUUAUGGAUGGGCAUGCGUUGUAUUAGCUGGUUGGUGAGGUAACGGCUCACCAAGGCAACGAUACAUAGGGGGACUGAGAGGUUAACCCCCCACAUUGGUACUGAGACACGGACCAAACUCCUACGGGAGGCAGCAGUGAGGAAUAUUGGUCAAUGGACGCAAGUCUGAACCAGCCAUGCCGCGUGCAGGAAGACGGCUCUAUGAGUUGUAAACUGCUUUUGUACGAGGGUAAACGCUCUUACGUGUAAGAGCCUGAAAGUAUCGUACGAAUAAGGAUCGGCUAACUCCGUGCCAGCAGCCG